rnacentral:rRNA from 1 species
UAGGGAAUCUUCGGCAAUGGACGAAAGUCUGACCGAGCAACGCCGCGUGAGUGAAGAAGGUUUUCGGAUCGUAAAACUCUGUUGUUAGAGAAGAACAAGGACGUUAGUAACUGAACGUCCCCUGACGGUAUCUAACCAGAAAGCCACGGCUAACUACGUGCCAGCAGCCGCGGUAAUACGUCGGUGGCAAGCGUUGUCCGGAUUUAUUGGGCGUAAAGCGAGCGCAGGCGGUUUCUUAAGUCUGAUGUGAAAGCCCCCGGCUCAACCGGGGAGGGUCAUUGGAAACUGGGAGACUUGAGUGCAGAAGAGGAGAGUGGAAUUCCAUGUGUAGCGGUGAAAUGCGUAGAUAUAUGGAGGAACACCAGUGGCGAAGGCGGCUCUCUGGACUGUAACUGACGCUGAGGCUCGAAAGCGUGGGGAGCAAACAGG